rnacentral:rRNA from 2 species
GGACUACUGGGGUAUCUAAUCCUGUUUGCUCCCCACGCUUUCGUGCCUCAGCGUCAGUACUGGUCCAGAUGGCCGCCUUCGCCACGGGUGUUCCUCCCGAUCUCUACGCAUUUCACCGCUACACCGGGAAUUCCACCAUCCUCUACCGUACUCUAGCUCGCCAGUAUCCAUCGCAAUUCCCAGGUUGAGCCCAGGGCUUUCACGACAGACUUAACGAACCGCCUACGCACGCUUUACGCCCAGUAAUUCCGAGUAACGCUUGCACCCUUCGUAUUACCGCGGCUGCUGGCAC